rnacentral:siRNA from 1 species
ACUUUGUGAGUUUGUCCGCUGCCA